rnacentral:rRNA from 1 species
GUGGGGAAUAUUGGACAAUGGGCGAAAGCCUGAUCCAGCAAUACCGCGUGUGUGAAGAAGGCCUGAGGGUUGUAAAGCACUUUCGUUUGGGAGGAAGAGAUUUGUUUUAAUAGAGCAAAUUGAAGACGUUACCAAAAUAAGAAGCACCGGCUAACUCUGUGCCAGCAGCCGCGGUAAUACAGAGGGUGCAAGCGUUAAUCGGAAUUACUGGGCGUAAAGGGUGCGUAGGUUGUUCUGUAAGUCAGAUGUGAAAACCCGGGGCUUAACUCCGGAAGGUCGUUUGAUACUGCAGGGCUAGAGUUUUGGAGGGGGCAGUGGAAUUUCCGGUGUAGCGGUGAAAUGCGUAGAUAUCGGAAGGAACACCAGAGGCGAAGGCGACUGCCUGGCCAAAAACUGACACUGAGGCACGAUAGCGUGGGUAGCAAACAGGAUUAGAAACCCGAGUAGUCC